AACGACGCUGGCGGCAGGCCUAACACAUGCAAGUCGAGCGCCCCAGCGAUGGGGAGCGGCGGACGGGUGAGUAACGCGUGGGAACGUGCCUCUUGCUACGGAAUAGCCUCGGGAAACUGGGAGUAAUACCGUAUGUGCCCUACGGGGGAAAGAUUUAUCGGCAAGAGAUCGGGCCCGCGUUGGAUUAGGUAGUUGGUCGGGGUAAUGGCCUACCAAGCCGACGAUCCAUAGCUGGUUUGAGAGGAUGAUCAGCCACACUGGGACCGAGACACGGCCCAGACUCCUACGGGAGGCAGCAGUGGGGAAUCUUAGACAAUGGGCGCAAGCCUGAUCUAGCCAUGCCGCGUGAGCGAUGAAGGCCUUAGGGUUGUAAAGCUCUUUCAGUGGGGAAGAUAAUGACUGUACCCACAGAAGAAGCCCCGGCUAACUCCGUG
rnacentral:rRNA from 1 species